UGGGCAGCCUCCCAGGCUGACCCCUGGUGGCCCGGUUGGCCAGGCUCCAGCGGAGUGUUUCCUGCAGUGACAGGCUCUGGCCCAUAUUUCCGGAUCCAGGAAAUAUCGCCGCUUUGUCCCUGAGGCUGAGCGUGGCACAGCCGGCUGCGUGAUUCACCCCCAGCUCCUGCCAGGCCAGCUCUGGAGGGAGAAGCCUUCAUGUUUGUCUGGUUUUCCCUCAAUGGCUCCAGCUUGCUGCUGGGAUUCAAGGACAGCUGGGCUGGGGGUUAGAGGGCUGUCCUUGCCCUUCAAGCCCCUGCCUCAGCCUCCCCGCCAGGGACAGGCUUGCUUCACCACGCUGGGCCUCAUUCUGUUGCGUAUCGUUUCUGCAAGGGCUACUUUUGAGGAGCUGCUCCUACCAAUAUGUUUGUACCAGAAGGAGGCUCUGUGUUACCUGGAUGAAGACACCACCUGCAUGUCUGCUGCUGCUGCCCCUGGAGUUCGGGAGAGGGCAUCAGAUCCCCUGCAUGGAGGUGUCACUUCUCCUGAAUCAACCAGAGUGAACCGGCUGUAAAUCUCCACAUAGGCCAAGCCCCGUGCUGCCCACAGCCUUCUGGACCCCCGAAGUCGUCCACAGCCAUGAGGUAACUACCUCCUCACCCACCCCCCACUGGUCACCGGUUCCAAGGUACACUUCCCAGAGUCCCCAUGCUCCUCUCGAGGCCCUUCCCUUAGUGAGCGUGUCCUGGCACCCAUGGAAGAUUCCAGUAGAGUCUUCCCACAAUGUCAGAAAGUAAGAUAAGAAAAUCACGGGCCAGCGAGAGGGCAGCUUGGGUGGAGGGGCUGGCAAGUUUGCCGAUCUGAAUUUGUCCCAGACCCACAUGGCGGAAGGAGAGAACCAACAACAAACUGUCCUCCGACCGGCACAACAUGUGCCGUGACGUGGGCACAUACACAUUAUCGUAAAAAAUAAUUGUGAAGAAAGUUACAAACACAUCUGCCCGCUUCUCUAUCAUCAGGUGCUUGGCUGGUAGCUGGGGGCUUUCACCCAUCUCCCUUUGUUUGUUUUUGAGACAAGGACUCUCUGUAUAACCAGGGCUAGCCUUGAACUCACUCUACAGACCAGUGUCGUCUCAGACUCACAGAUACCCGCCUGCCUCAGCCUCCUGGGUACUGAGAUGACAGGCACGGGUUAUCACCCUGGUCCACAUAAGUCUGAGUAUCAGGCCACUCCAGAGGGGGUAUCUCAAGCAAGGGCUACUGGGAACAGAGGCUGAGGGGCCUUGUGGGGCCCUGGGCCAUUUCCCGAUGGAGGCUCUGAGGCGCCAGACCUCAGCCUGCUGCUACCGUCUGGCUCAGCUGGGUUCAUGGGGUCCCCUCAACCCCUGCCCCCACCCCAGACUGUCCCUUGGCCUGUACCACUCUACCUCUGGUUCCUCGGGGCUGUGAGACCUAAGUUAAAUAUCAGGACUUACAAUGGCAGAGGAGGCAGGAGGGUUAGGAGUUCAAUGCCAGCCUCAGCUACAUGGGGAAUCUGAGAGCAGCCUGGGCUACAUAAUACCGUUUCUCAAAAACAAAACAAAACAAAACAAAACAAAAACACAAGAAAAAAAAUUCCUGCCAGACACCUAAAGGUGGUGGUCCACACCUUUAAUCCUAAGACUUGGGAGGCAAAGGCAGACAGAUCUCUGAGGCCAGCCUGGUCUACAGAAGGAGUUCCAGGACAGCCAGGGCUACUCAGUGGGACCCUGUCUCUGAAUCAGCCACUCAACAUGUGAAACCCCUCUGGUACAGAAAAUUGUCUAGAAUAAGCACAACAGCAGGCUGAUCUCAGUUAAAGGACGCAUUGUGGUCUGGAGAGCUGGCUCAGUGGUUAGGAGCUCAUGCUGCUCUUCCUGAGAACCUGGGUUCAAUUCCCAGCACCCACACCAGGUAACUUCACAACGGCCCGGAACCCCAGCUCCGGAGGACCUGACCUCUGUGGGCAUUCAUGUACAUGUGCCCUCAUGCACAUAAUUAAAAUAAAACAAUAUCAAUAAAGGCAGCAGCUGAUGAGAUGACCCAGCAGGUGAAGGGUCGUCCGCGGAGCCUGUUGACCUGAGUCCAAUCCCAAGACCCACAGGGCAGAAGGCGACCAGAGACUCCUACAAGGUCUCCUGGGGCACCUCUGCUCUCACAGGAACAUACAAAUAAACCGGAUAGGCUUUUUAAAUAAAAAGAAGGAAGAACAAUUGUUUUGAUUACUGCAACUGCAUGUGGAUUUCCUUACCACCUCUGACUCCUGUCAGCAGUGCAAACAGACAAGGAGAUGGCGCAGUGGGAAAAGCAGUCACCGGGCAAGUCUGACAACCUGAACUUCCUCGGGUUCCAUUAAAAAAGACAGGUACUGUCCCGGCAAGGGGCGCACAAUCCCAGCAUGCGGGAGGCAGAGCAAGAGGACCUCUGUGAGUUUGAGGCCGGCCUGGGCUUGCCUCAAAGAGACAAAAUAGAAACAAAAAUAAAAAUGACGGGGGCUGGAGAGAUGGCUCGAUGGUUAAGAGCACUGACUGUACUUCCAGAGGUCCUGAGUUCAAUUCCCAGCAACCACAUGGUGGCUCACAACCAUCUUUAAUGAGAUCUGAUGCUCUCUUCUGGUGUGUCUGAAGACAGCUACAGCAUA